CGUAUUAGUCUAGAUGGUGGUCGGAAUAACGGCUCCACUCAUGGCAAUGAUAGGUAGCCGACCUGAGAGGGUAAUCGGCCACAUUGGGACUGAGACACGGCCCAAACUCCUACGGGAGGCAGCAGUAGGGAAUCUUCCACAAUGGACGAAAGUCUGAUGGAGCAACGCCGCGUGAGUGAAGAAGGGUUUCGGCUCGUAAAACUCUGUUGUUAAAGAAGAACAUAUCUGAGAGUAACUGUUCAGGUAUUGACGGUAUUUAACCAGAAAGCCACGGCUAACUACGUGCCAGCAGCCGCGGUAAUACGUAGGUGGCAAGCGUUGUCCGGAUUUAUUGGGCGUAAAGCGAGCGCAGGCGGUUUUUUAAGUCUGAUGUGAAAGCUUCGGCUCAACCGAAGAAGUGCAUCGGAAACUGGGAAACUUGAGUGCAGAAGAGGACAGUGGAACUCCAUGUGUAGCGGUGAAAUGCGUAGAUAUAUGGAAGAACACCAGUGGCGAAGGCGGCUGUCUGGUCUGUAACUGACGCUGAGGCUCGAAAGUAUGGGUAGCAAACAGGAUUAGAUACCCUGGUAGUCCAUACCGUAAACGAUGAAUGCUAAGUGUUGGAGGGUUUCCGCCCUUCAGUGCUGCAGCUAACGCAUUAAGCAUUCCGCCUGGGGAGUACGGCCGCAAGGCUGAAACUCAAAGGAAUUGACGGGGGCCCGCACAAGCGGUGGAGCAUGUGGUUUAAUUCGAAGCUACGCGAAGAACCUUACCAGGUCUUGACAUACUAUGCAAAUCUAAGAGAUUAGACGUUUCCCUUCGGGGACAUGGAUACAGGUGGUGCAUGGUUGUCGUCAGCUCGUGUCGUGAGAUGUUGGGUUAAGUCCCGCAACGAGCGCAACCCUUAUUAUCAGUUGCCAGCAUUAAGUUGGGCACUCUGGUGAGACUGCCGGUGACAAACCGGAGGAAGGUGGGGAUGACGUCAAAUCAUCAUGCCCCUUAUGACCUGGGCUACUACACGUGCCUCACAAUGAGA
rnacentral:rRNA from 1 species